rnacentral:misc_RNA from 1 species
UACGUAGGGGGCAAGCGUUGUCCGGAAUUAUUGGGCGUAAAGGGCGCGUAGGCGGUUUCGUAAGUCUGAUGUGAAAGCCCACGGCUUAACCGUGGAGGGGCAUUGGAAACUGGGGAGCUUGAGUACAGAAGAGGAGAGUGGAAUUCCUCGUGUAGCGGUGAAAUGCGUAGAUAUGUGGAGGAACACCAGUGGCGAAGGCGACUCCCUGGUCUGUAACUGACGCUGAGGCGCGAAAGCGUGGGGAGCGAACAGG